AUUGAACGCUGGCGGCAGGCUUAACACAUGCAAGUCGAGCGGGGUGAUGGUGCUUGCACUAUCACUUAGCGGCGGACGGGUGAGUAAUGCUUAGGAAUCUGCCUAUUAGUGGGGGACAACAUCUCGAAAGGGAUGCUAAUACCGCAUACGUCCUACGGGAGAAAGCAGGGGAUCACUUGUGACCUUGCGCUAAUAGAUGAGCCUAAGUCGGAUUAGCUAGUUGGUGGGGUAAAGGCCUAACAAGGCGACGAUCUGUAGCGGGUCUGAGAGGAGGAUCCGCCACACUGGGACUGAGACACGGUCCAGACUCCUACCGGAGGGAGCAGUGAGGAAUAUUUGACAAUUGGGGGAAACCUGAACCAGCCAUGCCGCGUGGGUGAAGAAGGCCUUAUGGUUGUAAAGCACUUUAAGCGAGGAGGAGGCUCUUUUGGUUAAUACCCAAGAUGAGUGGACGUUACUCGCAGAAUAAGCACCGGCUAACUCUGUGCCAGCAGCCGCGGUAA
rnacentral:rRNA from 1 species